GCGCACGCUGGGCCACUUCCUUUCUCGGCAGCGCCGUAGAGCGCGAGCAGACGGUGCAGCAUGGCGCACAGCGGAGGCCGCGGGCGGCCGAACCCGGCGUGUCCUUGGGCGUUUCCAGGUGCUUGAACAAAUAUUUUCUAAACACUUGUCAUGGAGAGUGAUUGAAACAAGCUGCCAGGACUACAUUUGCCAAUAACAAGCAUGUAGGUGGCUGUAGUGGAUGUCCAACUUUGGGAGCUGUGAUGUCUAAAAACCCUUUAUUGUUUUGGGUAAGUUUGCUUAAUCAGUCAUGUAUCUGGAUUCAAUACUGUUUGAUAACACUGAGGGGCUGGGGCCAGUUCGUUUUGAAGAUCAUUAGGGUGAACACCUGGGCCUAGUUUGAGAUGGAAGAAAAAUGAUUUGGGG
rnacentral:lncRNA from 1 species